rnacentral:rRNA from 1 species
UACGUAGGGGGCAAGCGUUGUCCGGAAUCAUUGGGCGUAAAGAGCGUGUAGGCGGCUCGGUAAGUCCGCUGUGAAAGUCCAGGGCUCAACCCUGGAAUGCCGGUGGAAACUGUCGAGCUAGAGUCCGGAAGAGGCGAGUGGAAUUCCUGGUGUAGCGGUGAAAUGCGCAGAUAUCAGGAGGAACACCAAUGGCGAAGGCAGUGUCCUGGGGAGUACCUGACGCUCAGGUGCGAAAGCCAGGGGAGCGAACGGG